UACGUAGGGUGCAAGCGUUGUCCGGAAUUAUUGGGCGUAAAGAGUUCGUAGGCGGUCUGUCGCGUCGGUAGUGAAAACUCAGGGCUUAACCCUGAGCCUGCUUCCGAUACGGGCAGACUAGAGGUAUGCAGGGGAGAAUGGAAUUCCUGGUGUAGCGGUGAAAUGCGCAGAUAUCAGGAGGAACACCAGUGGCGAAGGCGGUUCUCUGGGCAUUACCUGACGCUGAGGAGCGAAAGUGUGGGGAGCGAACAGG
rnacentral:rRNA from 1 species